GAUGAACGCUGGCGGCGUGCCUAAUACAUGCAAGUCGAGCGAACAGACGAGGAGCUUGCUCCUCUGACGUUAGCGGCGGACGGGUGAGUAACACGUGGAUAACCUACCUAUAAGACUGGGAUAACUUCGGGAAACCGGAGCUAAUACCGGAUAAUAUAUUGAACCGCAUGGUUCAAUAGUGAAAGACGGUUUUGCUGUCACUUAUAGAUGGAUCCGCGCCGCAUUAGCUAGUUGGUAAGGUAACGGCUUACCAAGGCAACGAUGCGUAGCCGACCUGAGAGGGUGACGGCCACACUGGGAAGGGGCAACGGGCCAGACUCCUCCGGGGGGCAGAAGGAGGGAAAUUUCCGGAAUGGGCGAAAGCCUGAAGGGGCAACGCCGCGGGAGUGAAGAAGGGCUUCGGACUGUAAAACCUUUUUAUUAGGGAAAAACAAAUUGUUAAGUAACUUUGCCCCUCUUGACGGUACCCAAGCCGAAAGCCCAGGCUAACGAAC
rnacentral:rRNA from 1 species